UCCUGGCUCAGAUUGAACGCUGGCGGCAGGCCUAACACAUGCAAGUCGAGCGGAUGAAGGGAGCUUGCUCCCUGAUUUAGCGGCGGACGGGUGAGUAAUGCCUAGGAAUCUGCCUGGUAGUGGGGGAUAACGUUCCGAAAGGAACGCUAAUACCGCAUACGUCCUACGGGAGAAAGCAGGGGACCUUCGGGCCUUGCGCUAUCAGAUGAGCCUAGGUCGGAUUAGCUAGUUGGUGAGGUAAUGGCUCACCAAGGCGACGAUCCGUAACUGGUCUGAGAGGAUGAUCAGUCACACUGGAACUGAGACACGGUCCAGACUCCUACGGGAGGCAGCAGUGGGGAAUAUUGGACAAUGGGCGAAAGCCUGAUCCAGCCAUGCCGCGUGUGUGAAGAAGGUCUUCGGAUUGUAAAGCACUUUAAGUUGGGAGGAAGGG
rnacentral:rRNA from 1 species